CUCUGAUCCCAGUGCCCUGGCAGGCUGUGGCAGGAGGACUGCAAGUUAGAGCCUAGCAUGGGCAAUUUAGUGAGACCUUGUCUCAGAACAAAAAAUAAAAAAAAGGGAUAGGGAUGUAGUUCAGAGUGAAGGCCCCGAAUACAAUCUCCACACUGCCAAACAAAACAGACUAAAUAAAGCCAAUACUACCAGGUGGAAAAUGAUUAUUUUCUGAUCUCAACUGCUCAGUCUCUGCAAUUGGUUCCUCUUUUUUCCUAUCCUCCAAUUCCUGAACUGCGUAUCUGUGUGUGGAGUGAGCACAGGUGUGCUACACUUGCUGUAGAAGUGCUAAUGCAAUGAUGUGAUCCUGGCUUCCCUCUGUCCUCAGCACUAUUCUAUGGGCAUCAGUUCGAGGGACAAAUGUUCCUUGCAGAGGGUCCCCCGACGGGCUGCACACUGAGGUCCCGAGGACUCUGGAGCUUCCUGCCCCCUGCCUGGGUGCCACCCCACAGGUCUCACCAGCUGCCAUGUGCUGGAACUGAGGAAUGAGAAUAUCUAGAGUCCAGAAUGAGGUACACCCAAGGGAGAGGACUGUGGCAGAGACUGGCAUAGAGACGGCACCUUGAAUGCUUGCUGAAUCAGUAACGGAAGAAACCAAGUCUGUCUUCUCUCAGGAUUCUGGUAUCCGGAGCUAUUUUCAGAGCUGAAAAAAAAACUCACUGUAUUUUCGUGGGUGUAACACUGUGGCUGUAGAUAUUAGCCAGCAGUUUCAUUCAGUUUCCUGGCUUGCUCUCGUCACUCUACCGCUUCGUCCCUCCUUCUUCUCUCCUUCUUCGAAGCCCUCUGCCCUCUCUUCAUCCAUCAGCUCCUACAGCUCCAUGUGCCCCAAAGAGGAAGGGACUGAGGAAGAACCCUGGGAAACUCUCAGAGUAGAGUAGCUCCUGCUGAGACCAGGACCAGCCUUUCCAGACUGGCAGAAAAAACCCCAAAUCACUGCAGCAAGGAGCCUGGGCCAGGGUCAGCCACCAGGGGCAGAAGAGCUAAGACUGCAGAAGGGCCCUGAAUCCAGGCCAGAUCAACCCAACAGACACGCCUAUGGUGGUUCUGAAGUUCACAGGAAUGGCUAAUAUACACUCGAAGAAAGUGCAUUAAAUAAGUCAUUGCACAGAUUCAUUUUAAGUAGUAUGAUUUUCUUUUCUUCUUUUUGGGGGUGGUGGUGGUGUGGGGGACAGGGUCUCAUUAAGUUGCCUAGGCUGGCCUUGAAUUUGUGAUCCUCCUGCUUCAGGCUGGGAUUAUAGAUUCGCACCACCAUACCCAGUUGAAUUCUGAACUUCUUAAAAACAAGGUCCUGAUAUUUAUCAGGCCAUCAAAUAAAUACUGUGACACCAGUACAAUCAUUUUGCUCUGACCCAGAAACUAGAGAAAUUGUGGAUGCUGCAUCAGUUAGGCCGUGGUGUCACAAACUUGGGAGAGAGAGCACCUCUAGCACUCGGGGCCGGCCGGCCUGGGGUCUCCCAGGCUUUGUGGCCUUGCCCUGGAAAGGCCCUGAGGGUGGACACAGGUGUGUGGGAGGAAGCUAUGUACCACAGCUAGUGUAGCA
ensembl:lncRNA